rnacentral:rRNA from 1 species
GAUGAACGCUAGCUACAGGCUUAACACAUGCAAGUCGAGGGGAAACGAUAGAGAAAGCUUGCUUUUUCUAGGCGUCGACCGGCGCACGGGUGAGUAACGCGUAUCCAACCUGCCCAUCACUUGGGGAUAACCUUGCGAAAGUAAGACUAAUACCCAAUGACGUCCAUAGAAGACAUCUGAAAUGGAUUAAAGAUUUAUCGGGGAUGGAUGGGGAUGCGUCUGAUUAGCUUGUUGGCGGGGUAACGGCCCAACAAGGCGACGAUCAGUAGGGGUUCUGAGAGGAAGGUCCCCCACAUUGGAACUGAGACACGGUCCAAACUCCUACGGGAGGCAGCAGUGAGGAAUAUUGGUCAAUGGACGAGAGUCUGAACCAGCCAAGUAGCGUGCAGGAUGACGGCCCUAUGGGUUGUAAACUGCUUUUAUAAGGGAAUAAAGUGGGAGUCGUGACUCCUUUUGCAUGUACCUUAUGAAUAAGGACCGGCUAAUUCCGUGCCAGCCGCCGCCGUAA